rnacentral:rRNA from 1 species
CCGCUGAACUUAAGCAUAUCAAUAAGCGGAGGAAAAGAAACCAACAGGGAUUGCCUCAGUAACGGCGAGUGAAGCGGCAACAGCUCAAAUUUGAAAUCUGGCUCUUUCAGGGUCCGAGUUGUAAUUUGUAGAAGAUGCUUCGGGCGUGGCUCCGGUCUAAGUUCCUUGGAACAGGACGUCAUAGAGGGUGAGAAUCCCGUAUGUGACUGGGUGCCUAUGCUCAUGUGAAGCUCUUUCGACGAGUCGAGUUGUUUGGGAAUGCAGCUCUAAAUGGGUGGUAAAUUUCAUCUAAAGCUAAAUACUGGCCAGAGACCGAUAGCGCACAAGUAGAGUGAUCGAAAGAUGAAAAGCACUUUGGAAAGAGAGUUAAACAGUACGUGAAAUUGUUGAAAGGGAAGCGCUUGCAACCAGACUUGCAUGCAGCUGAUCAUCCGGUGUUCUCACCGGUGCACUCAGCUGUGUUCAGGCCAGCAUCGGUUUCGGUGGUUGGAUAAAGGCCUUGGGAAUGUAGCUUCCUUCGGGGAGUGUUAUAGCCCGCGGUGCAAUGCAGCCUACUGGGACCGAGGACCGCGCUUCGGCUAGGAUGCUGGCGUAAUGGUUGUAAGCGACCCGUCUUGAAACACGGACCAAGGAGUCUAACAUCUAUGCGAGUGUUUGGGUGUCAAACCCAUACGCGUAAUGAAAGUGAACGGAGGUGAGAACUCUUAAGAGUGCAUCAUCGACCGAUCCUGAUGUCUUCGGAUGGAUUUGAGUAAGAGCAUAGCUGUUGGGACCCGAAAGAUGGUGAACUAUACUUGAAUAGGGUGAAGCCAGAGGAAACUCUGGUGGAGGCUCGCAGCGGUUCUGACGUGCAAAUCGAUCGUCAAAUUUGGGUAUAGGGGCGAAAGACUAAUCGAACCAUCUAGUAGCUGGUUCCUGCCGAAGUUUCCCUCAGGAA